rnacentral:rRNA from 1 species
UACGGGGGGGGCUAGCGUUGUUCGGAAUUACUGGGCGUAAAGGGCGCGUAGGCGGUCUACUAAGUUGGAUGUGAAAACUCUGGGCUUAACCCAGAGCCUGCAUUCAAAACUGAUAGGCUAGAGUUCUGGAGGGGAUAGCGGAAUUCCUGGUGUAGCGGUGAAAUGCGUAGAUAUCAGGAGGAACACCGGUGGCGAAGGCGGCUAUCUGGACCAUAACUGACGCUGAGAAGCGAAAGCAUGGGGAGCGAACAGG